rnacentral:lncRNA from 10 species
UAGAAGCAACAAUCGCAGACAAAGAGUACAACUUGUUUUUGAAGUAGUUCCGGAGCAACAGUUCACGAUGUGAGUCUCCACACACUGCUCUGUCUGUCUGCAUGGCAGCUAGAAUCUAAUCCUGCCUCCUGUCUGCCAUGAGCCUAAAAAAUCUUCCAGAACCAGGAGACCAUAACUCUCUCUUGUUUAAGUCACCCAGUGUGUGAUGCUUUGUGACAGGCAGCCCUGGCAAAUGAAUAAGCUGCCAGGGAACAGGAACUCCCAUUGUGGAAUUCACAGAAGUGAGAAAUAAAUAUUUG